rnacentral:lncRNA from 1 species
UUGUAUCAUAUAUUUUCUUUUCUAAUAACAAAUGAAUGAUAUAAUAUACUUAUAACAUAGGAAUGAUCUAUAAAUAGCACAUUUAUACGGUAUAACAAAUAAAAAUUUCAUAACAAGCUUAUCAGCAGUACAAAACCGAAAGCAAUCUACAAAACAAAUACAUUGUAUUUGAACCUAACUACUGUGGAUUCACUUAUUUUCGUGGAUAUCAAUUUUCGUGGAUUGCUGAAAACUUGCAUAUUAGUGGAUAUUUGAUUUCGUGGUUUUGUCAAUCUCUGUAUAUGUCGUGUACAUUUUAUUAUUUUGUACAGGUUAUUACCUGUACAAAAACUUUGUAAGAGUAAUUACUUGUAUGAUGCCAUCAUACAAGUUAUUACUUGUACAAAUACAAUUGUACAAGUAAUUACUUGUCCAAUUUUUAUUGAGAAAAAGAUAAUAACUUGUACAAAUCAUUAUUCUACCUUGGUCUAUUUCCUGACUUCAACAAAACUUCCCCUUUAAACAAAUAAUUUAUUAUAAGUGCAUCAGUAUAAACUUGAAACCUUUUAGAAAUUUUUAUUUGAUAAAUUUGGUAGCCAAUUUGUACAGUUUAGUAGGGUAUUAAAGGAUAAAAUGUAAAACAUUAAAUAAAAUCUUCUAAUUAUUCAUUAUUCACUUGUGAAAGAUAAAGAGAUAAAUUAAUGUAAAGGAAGC